rnacentral:rRNA from 1 species
CCUACGGGAGGCAGCAGUGGGGAAUAUUGCACAAUGGGCGCAAGCCUGAUGCAGCGACGCCGCGUGAGGGAUGACGGCCUUCGGGUUGUAAACCUCUUUCAGUAGGGAAGAAGCGAAAGUGACGGUACCUGCAGAAGAAGCGCCGGCUAACUACGUGCCAGCAGCCGCGGUAAUACGUAGGGCGCAAGCGUUAUCCGGAAUUAUUGGGCGUAAAGAGCUCGUAGGCGGUUUGUCGCGUCUGCCGUGAAAGUCCGGGGCUCAACUCCGGAUCUGCGGUGGGUACGGGCAGACUAGAGUGAUGUAGGGGAGACUGGAAUUCCUGGUGUAGCGGUGAAAUGCGCAGAUAUCAGGAGGAACACCGAUGACGAAGGCAGGUCUCUGGGCAUUAACUGACGCUGAGGAGCGAAAGCAUGGGGAGCGAACAGGAUUAGAUACCCUGGUAGUCCAUGCCGUAAACGUUGGGCACUAGGUGUGGGGGACAUUCCACGUUUUCCGCGCCGUAGCUAACGCAUUAAGUGCCCCGCCUGGGGAGUACGGCCGCAAGGCAAAACUCAAAUGAAUUGACGG